UGUCGAAUACUCGGGACGACAUCCAGCAGAAGAGGUCUCAGCAAACAUACUACACCUGAGUUUGCAGUAGGAAGACAAAAGCCAAUUUGAAAAACAGACCAUGAAAUAGGGGAAAGUCUGCCAUGCCACAAGGGCUGGUGGUGGAGCCUUAGUCUGAUUCAGUGACAUUUUGGAACUUUCCUGGAACCAUGCAGACUGUCCAGCAAGGCAGAGGAACAGCAGUUGAAGUUAUCUGCCCGAGAUGAUAAAAAUACCCCAGCAGCAAUGUGAAGGGAAGCCAGGUGUGCAGGGCCCCAGCACACAGGCUGCUGCACCACACAGAUCUGUUUUUCUACGUUCCAGCUUUCCAUACUCAGCUUUUCCAGUUUUUCCAUACUCAGCUUUCCCCAUGACUUCUGCAGUCAUUACACUUAAGAAUGUAAUUAGCCCCAAGAAAGGGGUUAAAGAGCUGAUCUUGUAAUAUCUCUGAAGUCAAAGUAGCA